rnacentral:rRNA from 1 species
GAGUUUGAUCAUGGCUCAGAACGUACGCUGGCGGCACGCCUAACACAUGCAAGUCGAACGAAGUAGCAAUACUUAGUGGCAGACGGGUGAGUAACAUGUAGGUAUCUGCCCUUUGGCCUGGAAUAACACGAGGAAACUUGUGCUAAUACCGGAUAAGUCUUUACGGAGAAAGCUUUAUGCACCAUUGGAUGAGCCUGCACUUGAUUAGUUUGUUGGUGGGGUAAUGGCCUACCAAGACUGUGAUCAAUAGCUGAUUUGAGAGGAUGAUCAGCCACAUUGGGACUGAGACACGGCCCAAACUCCUACGGGAGGCAGCAGUGGGGAAUCUUGCACAAUGGAGGAAACUCUGAUGCAGCGAUGCCGCGUGAGUGAAGAAGGCCCUUGGGUUGUAAAGCUCUUUCGUCGGGGAAGAAAAUGACUGUACCCGAAUAAGAAGGUCCGGCUAACUUCGUGCCAGCAGCCGCGGUAAUACGAAGGGACCUAGCGUAGUUCGGAAUUACUGGGCUUAAAGAGUUCGUAGGUGGUUGAAAAAGUUAGUGGUGAAAUCCCAGAGCUUAACUCUGGAACUGCCAUUAAAACUUUUCAGCUAGAGUAUGAUAGAGGAAAGCAGAAUUUCUAGUGUAGAGGUGAAAUUCGUAGAUAUUAGAAAGAAUACCAAUUGCGAAGGCAGCUUUCUGGAUCAUUACUGACACUGAGGAACGAAAGCAUGGGUAGCGAAGAGGAUUAGAUACCCUCGUAGUCCAUGCCGUAAACGAUGUGUGUUAGACGUUGGAAAUUUAUUUUCAGUGUCGCAGGGAAACCGAUAAACACACCGCCUGGGGAGUACGACCGCAAGGUUAAAACUCAAAUGAAUUGACGGGGACCCGCACAAGUAGUGGAGCAUGUGGUUUAAUUCGAAGAUACGCGCAGAACCUUACCAACACUUGACAUGUUCGUCGCGACUUUAAGAGAUUAGAGUUUUCGGUUCGGCCGGACGAAACACAGGUGCUGCAUGGCUGUCGUCAGCUCGUGUCGUGAGAUGUUGGGUUAAGUCCCGCAACGAGCGCAACCCUCACUUUUAGUUGCCAUCAUUAAGUUGGGCACUCUGAAAGAACUGCCAGUGAUAAGCUGGAGGAAGGUGGGGAUGACGUCAAGUCCUCAUGGCCCUUACGUGUUGGGCUACACACGUGCUACAAUGGUAUCUACAACAGGAAGCAAAACUGCGAAGUUAAGCAAAUCCCUAAAAGAUACCUCAGUUCGGAUUGCACUCUGCAACUCGAGUGCAUGAAGCUGGAAUUACUAGUAAUCGUGGAUCAGCGUGCCACGGUGAAUGCGUUCCCGGGUCUUGUACACACCGCCCGUCACACCAUGGGAGUUGGUUCUACCUUAAGGCAAGGUUUCAAACCCUUGACCACGGUAUAGUCAGCGACUGGGGUGAAGUCGUAACAAGGUAACC